rnacentral:sRNA from 1 species
UUUUAGCCCUGAUGGAAGUGGAAAUCCUGUCAUUGCGAUUUUGAAUUGUGAGAUGUUACUGCUUUCUUCCUCGCAAUGACAGAUUGUAACGAACAGCAGGAAUAUGG